AGAAAUAUGUCUGACAAAAGAAUUACUUUGAUAGAGUA
rnacentral:tRNA from 1 species